rnacentral:rRNA from 1 species
GACGAACGCUGGCGGCGUGCCUAACACAUGCAAGUCGAGCGGAGUCGAUCGACGGAAGCCUUCGGGCGGAAGAUGGUUGACUUAGCGGCGGAUGGGUGAGUAAUGCGUGGGCAACCUGCCUCGAAGACCGGGAUAACAGCCCGAAAGGGCUGCUAAUACCGGAUGUGGUCAAGGAUCCGCAUGGAUUUUUGAUUAAAGGGGAAACCCGUUUCGAGAUGGGCCCGCGUCCUAUCAGCUAGUUGGUGAGGUAAAAGCUCACCAAGGCGACGACGGGUAGCCGGCCUGAGAGGGUGACCGGCCACACUGGAACUGAGACACGGUCCAGACUCCUACGGGGGGCAGCAGUGGGGAAUCUUCCACAAUGGGCGAAAGCCUGAUGGAGCGACGCCGCGUGAGCGAAGAAGGCCUUCGGGUUGUAAGACUCUGUCUGGAGGGACGAAGGAAGUGACGGUACCUCCGGAGGAAGCCACGGCUAACUACGUG